GUCUUUAGGCUGUCCCUCACCAAUCUUGCCUGAGCUUGGAAUCUAAGCAAGAUCAGGCCUCAUUCAUACUUGUAUGAGAGACUGCCUGGUAAUAUAAGGCUCUGUAGAAA
rnacentral:rRNA from 1 species